GACGAACGCUGGCGGCGUGCUUAACACAUGCAAGUCGAACGGAAAGGCCCUGCUUUUGUGGGGUGCUCGAGUGGCGAACGGGUGAGUAACACGUGAGUAACCUGCCCUUGACUUUGGGAUAACUUCAGGAAACUGGGGCUAAUACCGGAUAGGAGCUCCUGCUGCAUGGUGGGGGUUGGAAAGUUUCGGCGGUUGGGGAUGGACUCGCGGCUUAUCAGCUUGUUGGUGGGGUAGUGGCUUACCAAGGCUUUGACGGGUAGCCGGCCUGAGAGGGUGACCGGCCACAUGGAGACUGAGAUACGGCCCAGACUCCUACGGGAGGCAGCAGUGGGGAAUAUUGCACAAUGGGCGGAAGCCUGAUGCAGAAACGCCGCGUGCGGGAUGACGGCCUUCGGGUUGUAAACCGAUUUCGCCUGUGACGAAGCGUGAGUGACGGUAAUGGGUAAAGAAGCACCGGCUAACUACGUG
rnacentral:rRNA from 1 species